UGUCUAAACAAAACACUCUUCAGGACCAAGCACUGUUUGCCGGAAAGAAUCUGAUUAUAGCCUGGAGCAGCAAGAAUUCUGCUCGCCAUGCAAAACGGCGUUCGAACUCGACCUAAGGAACUAAAAUGUUACUCAGGCCUGUUUGCUGGCAGUGUGCUGAUUUUGGCCCAAAACAGCAACUGUUCUGAACACUUGACAAAACAGCCUUCAGAGCCAACCACUACUCAGGUCUGUUUUCCGUGAAGAAGCUGGUUUCAGCCCAGAGCAGGAAGCAUUCCGCUCACCAGGCGAGAUGGUGUUCAGACUCGACAACAGGAAGUAGGAUGUUAACUCAAUCCUACUGGCUGGAGGUUGACUAUAUUGGUCCAGGGCAGCAGGUAUUCGGCUCGCUAACAAAACAGCCUUCACGGCCAAGUACUACUCAGGCCUGUUGUCUAGAAAGGAGCUGAAUUUGGUGCAGAGUAGCAAGCAUCCUGCUCACUAGAUAAAACAGUCUUCAAACUCGAGCACAAGAGAUGGGACUGCCCACUUUGCGGUGAGGAGCAUUUUGGUCCAGAACAGCAACUGCCCUUCUGGCUAGACAAAUUGGCCUUCGGUGUCU